GCACUCACUUCGGCAGCACAUAUACUGAAGUUGGAAGGAUACAGAGGAGAUUAGCGUGGCCCCUGGGCAAGGAUGACAUGCAAAUUCAUGAAGCGUUCCAUAUUUUU
rnacentral:snRNA from 1 species